AGAGUUUGAUCCUGGCUCAGAGCGAACGCUGGCGGCGUGCUUAACACAUGCAAGUCGAGUGCGCGUCUGUAGCAAUACAGAUGGCGCACGGCGCACGGGUGCGUAACACGUGGGUAAUCUGCCCUUCGAAGGGGAAUAACUCGCCGAAAGGCGAGCUAAUUCCGCAUAACAUUCCUUGGACUUUGGUUUGAGGACUCAAAGGCGUAAGUCGUCGGAGGAGGAGCCCGCGCACGAUUAGCUAGUUGGUGAGGUAAUGGCUCACCAAGGCUAUGAUCGUUAGCUGGUCUGAGAGGAUGGCCAGCCACACUGGAACUGAGACACGGUCCAGACUCCUACGGGAGGCAGCAGUGGGGAAUCUUGCACAAUGGGCGAAAGCCUGAUGCAGCGACGCCGCGUGGGGGAUGAAGCUUCUCGGAGUGUAAACCCCUUUCGACCCGGACGAAUGCCCCGCAAGGGGACUGACGGUACGGGUAUAAGAAGCCCCGGCUAACUACGUGCCAGCAGCCGCGGUAAGACGUAGGGGGCCAGCGUUGCUCGGAAUUACUGGGUGUAAAGGGUUCGUAGGCGGUGUGGCAAGUCGGGAGUGAAAUCUCUGGGCUCAACCCAGAGUCUGCUUCCGAAACUGCUGUGCUUGAGUGUGGGAGAGGCGCGUGGAAUUGCAGGUGUAGCGGUGAAAUGCGUAGAUAUCUGCAGGAACACCCGUGGCGAAAGCGGCGCGCUGGACCACUACUGACGCUGAGGAACGAAAGCUAGGGGAGCAAACAGGAUUAGAUACCCUGGUAGUCCUAGCCCUAAACGAUCAGGACUUGGGGUGCCACCCGUUCGGGUGUCGUCCCGGAGCUAACGCGUUAAGUCCUGCACCUGGGGAGUACGGUCGCAAGACUGAACUCAAGGAAUUGACGGGGCCCGCACAAGCGGUGGAACAUGUGGUUCAAUUCGACGCUACGCGAGGAACCUUACCUGGGCUCGA
rnacentral:rRNA from 1 species